rnacentral:rRNA from 1 species
ACGGGAGGCAGCAGUGGGGAAUAUUGGGCAUUGGGCGCAAGCCUGACCCAGCAACGCCGCGUGAAGGAAGAAGGCUUUCGGGUUGUAAACUUCUUUUGUGAGGGACGAGAAGAAGACGGUACCUCAUGAAUAAGCCACGGCUAACUACGUGCCAGCAGCCGCGGUAAUACGUAGGGAGCGAGCGUUGUCCGGAUUUACUGGGUGUAAAGGGUGCGUAGGCGGGCUUGCAAGUCAGGCGUGAAAUACCGGGGCUUAACUCCGGGGCUGCGCUUGAAACUGUAAGUCUUGAGUGAAGUAGAGGCAGGCGGAAUUCCCAGUGUAGCGGUGAAAUGCGUAGAUAUUGGGAGGAACACCAGUGGCGAAGGCGGCCUGCUGGGCUUUAACUGACGCUGAGGCACGAAAGUAUGGGGAGCAAACAGGAUUAGAUACCCUGGUA